CCCUAACUAGCUCUGUUGGUAGAGCAUGAGACUUAUAAUCUCAGGGUAGUGAGUUCCUGUCCCAUGUCGGGUG
rnacentral:tRNA from 1 species